rnacentral:rRNA from 1 species
GACGAACGCUGGCGGCGUGCUUAACACAUGCAAGUCGAACGGAAAGGCCCUGCUUUUGUGUGUUGCUCGAUUGGCGAACGGGUGAGUAACACGUGAGUAACCUGCCCUUGACUUUGUGAUAACUUCAGGAAACUGCGGCUAAUACCGCAUAGGAUCUCCUGCUGCAUGUUGGUGGUUGGAAAGUUUCGGCGGUUGGGGAUGGACUCGCUGCUUAUCAGCUUGUUUGUGUGGUAGUGGCUUACGAAGGCUUUGACGGGUAGCCGGCCUGAGAGGGUGAACGGCGACAUUGGGACUGAGAUACGGACCAGAAUGCUACGGGAGGCAGCAGUGGGGAAUAUUGCACAGUGGGCGGAAGCCUGAUGCAGAAACGCCGCGUGCGGGAUGACGGCCUUCGGGUUGUAAACAGAUUUCGAAUGUGACGAAGCGUGAGUGACGGUAAUGGGUAAAGAAGCACCGGCUAACUACGUG